rnacentral:tRNA from 1 species
AGGAGUGUGGUGAAAUGGAAAACACAUCUGAUUUAGGGUCAGACUUAUGCAGGUUCAAAUCCUGUCACUCUUA